UAAAGGUUUGACGGUUUGACUUUUUAAUUAACAAGUGUAAAUUUACGUUGUAGACUCAUAAACAUGCGUUGUGCACUUGUGUUUAUUUGCAUAAUUAUAGAUUUGCACCUAAUUACAUUAAUUUGCACCAAAUUACUUUCCAUUUCAUCAUAUAUUACUAUAAAAAUGUAUUUGUUCGAUUGUAUUCAGCGAGGUGGCGUUGCGUGCGGCGAAGUGGAACCUGGUACGCUUCGAUUUGUUUUUGGAACAAGAUCCAACUCCCCCCCCCCCCCCCUUUUUUA
rnacentral:lncRNA from 1 species